rnacentral:rRNA from 1 species
GGGUUGUGAGGUUAAGCGACUAAGCGUACACGGUGGAUGCCCUGGCAGUCAGAGGCGAUGAAGGACGUGCUAAUCUGCGAUAAGCGUCGGUAAGGUGAUAUGAACCGUUAUAACCGGCGAUUUCCGAAUGGGGAAACCCAGUGUGAUUCGUCACACUAUCGUUAACUGAAUACAUAGGUUAACGAAGCGAACCGGGGGAACUGAAACAUCUAAGUACCCCGAGGAAAAGAAAUCAACCGAGAUUCCCCCAGUAGCGGCGAGCGAACGGGGAGGAGCCCAGAGCCUGAAUCAGCA